UACGACCUACGGGAGGCAGCAGUGGGGAAUAUUGGGCAAUGGGCGCAAGCCUGACCCAGCAACGCCGCGUGAAGGAAGACGGCUUUCGGGUUGUCCCCUUCUUUUCUGCGGGCCGCCCCCCCUGACGGUACCUCAUGAAUAAGCCACGGCUAACUACGUGCCAGCAGCCGCGGUACUACGUAGGUGGCACGCGUUCUCCGGCUUUACUGGGUGUCCCGGGCGUGUCGGCGGGCCUGCCCGUCCGCUG
rnacentral:rRNA from 1 species